rnacentral:rRNA from 1 species
UGAGCAACCUGCCCUUAGCUCUGGGAUAACCCCGGGAAACCGGGGCUAAUACCGGAUAUGAGUCCGAGCGGCAUCACGCGGACUGGAAAGUUUUUCGGCUAAGGAUGGGCUCGCGGCCUAUCAGCUUGUUGGUGGGGUAAUGGCCUACCAAGGCGACGACGGGUAGCCGGCCUGAGAGGGCGACCGGCCACACUGGGACUGAGACACGGCCCAGACUCCUACGGGAGCA